rnacentral:rRNA from 1 species
CGCGAAUUCGCCCUUAGAGUUUGAUUCUGGCUCAAGAUGAACGCUGGCGGCGUGCCUAACACAUGCAAGUCGAACGAAGCGCAUGCCUGGAACCCUCCGGGGGGAAAGGCAUGUGACUGAGUGGCGGACGGGUGAGUAACGCGUGGGCAACCUGCCCCGCACUGGGGGACAACAGCCGGAAACGGCUGCUAAUACCGCAUAUGCGCACAGCUUUGCAUGAAGCAGUGUGGAAAACUCCGGUGGUGCGGGAUGGGCCCGCGUCUGAUUAGCUGGUUGGCGGGGCAACGGCCCACCAAAGCGACGAUCAGUAGCCGGCCUGAGAGGGUGGACGGCCACAUUGGGACUGAGACACGGCCCAGACUCCUACGGGAGGCAGCAGUGGGGGAUAUUGCACAAUGGGGGGAACCCUGAUGCAGCGACGCCGCGUGAGCGAAGAAGUACCUCGGUAUGUAAAGCUCUAUCAGCAAGGAAGAAAAUGACGGUACCUGACUAAGAAGCCCCGGCUAAAUACGUGCCAACAGCCGCGGUAAUACGUAUGGGGCAAGCGUUAUCCGGAUUUACUGGGUGUAAAA